rnacentral:misc_RNA from 1 species
AGACCUAGCUGCUAUCGAAGCUCCAUCUACAAAUGGAUAAGAUCCCAGUCUAGUCUAUAGGAGGUUUUGAAAAGAAAGGAGCAAUAACCAUUUUCUUGUUUUAUCAAGAGGGUGCUAUUGCUCCUUUCUUUUUUUUUUUUUUCUUUAUUAAUUUCCUAUCUUUAUUAAUUUCCUAGUAUUUGACUGACAUAGACUUUUUUGUUUACUUUAUAGAACAUUAUAGAAAAAGCAGGAGAGGGUAUUUGCCUGCAUUUAUUCAUGAUUGAGUAUUCGAUUUUUAUUUUCUAUUUAUUUCAAAUUGUAGAAAUAUAACUUGUUCCUCUUGUUGCUAAUGUUACUAUAUUUUUUUUAUUUCAUUUCACACAAAAAAUCUAAUUUUGACCUCAUAUCUUUGAAAUAAUAAUAGAAAUAAUACUAUGCAUUGAAAUAAGUGAAAUAAGAAAGAAGAGAAAUAUUCGAACUUGAAUCUUUUGUUUUCGAAUUUAAAUAAUGUAAAAAUGGAAUGUCAUCAGUAGGGGAGGGGGCGGAUGUAGCCAAG